rnacentral:rRNA from 1 species
AAGUCCAAGGCGUUUGGGAAUAAUGGACGCGAGGGAACUCAGCCAAAUAGCUCCGUAUCUUAGGUAGAAGGAGUGCCUAUUCCGAGAGGGAAUAGGUCGCAGUGGCAAGGGGACCCCGACUGUUUACCAAAAACACAGAUCGCUGCUAGUCGGAAACGAUGUGUAUAGCGGUCGAAACCUGCCCAGUGUCGGUACCUGAAAGUCUCGUACAAGGGAAAGAAGGGCCGAUAAACGGCGGGGGUAACUAUGACCCUCUUAAGGUAGCGUAAUACCUAGCCGCUUAAUUGGCGGCUUGCAUGAAGGUUCAACGUGAGUCCCACUGUCCCCGCGUUCAGCCCCGUGAAAUUGAUGCACUGGUGCACAAUCCAGUCUCUCCCACAUGAAAGCGAAGUCCCCGUGGAGCUUUACUGCAGCCUGUGGCUGCGAUGCGGUUAUUAUUGCGUAGAGUAGGAAGGAGCUGUUAAUGCCUGGGUUCUGGCUCAGGUGGAGGCACCGCUGAAACACUUCCCUUUAAUAACUGCGUCGCUAACCUCGAAAGAGGGACACCUAUUGGUGGGCAGUUUGGGUGGGGCGCCACGCCCCUGAGAAUUUAACAGGGGCCCCCAAUGGUUAGCUCAGGAGGGUCAGUAAUCCUCCGUAGAGUGUAAGGGCAAAAGCUAGCUUGACUGUGUUCCGGACAAUAAGGAACGCAGAUGCGAAAGCAGGGCCUAACGAACCACCCUGUCCCCCUUUAGUGGGGGCGGGUGAUAAGAGAGAAGUUACCCCAGGGAUAACUGAGUUGUCCUCGGCAAGAGUUCAUAUCGACCCGAGGGUUUGCUACUUCGAUGUCGUCUGUUCCUAUCCUGGUGCUGAACAAGGUGCCAAGGGUGGGGCUGUUCGCCCAUUAAAAGGGAUCCUGAGAUGGGUUCACUACGUCGCGAGACAGUAGGGUUGCUUCUCUGUGGGAGUGCUCGAUGUCUGAAGGGAAGGAGCCUUUAGUACGAGAGGAACGGGGGUUCGUGACCUCUGGUUUACCGGUUGUCUGGUAAGGCAUUUGCCGGGUAGCCACGUCAUACGCGAAUAAAAGCUGAAAGCAUCUAAGCUUGAAGUCGCCCCUGAAAAUAGACAUCGUUAUUAGGUCUCUCCUAAAAGAGGAGUUUGAUAGAACUGGGAUAUAAGUACCGAGCUUCGGCGAGGUAUUCAGUCCACAGUUACUAAUAGACCGAAUGCACAAUC